rnacentral:rRNA from 1 species
UGGGAAUAUUGCACAAUGGGCGCAAGCCUGAUGCAGCAACGCCGCGUGAGGGACGACGGCCUUCGGGUGUAAACCUCUUUNGAGGGAAGAAGCGAAAGUGACGGUACCUGCAGAAAAAGCACCGGCUAACUACGUGCCAGCAGCCGCGGUAAUACGUAGGGUGCGAGCGUUGUCCGGAAUUAUUGGGCGUAAAGAGCUCGUAGGCGGUCUGUCGCGUCUGCUGUGAAAAUCCCGAGGCUCAACCUCGGGCCCUGCAGUGGGUACGGGCAGACUAGAUGCGGUAGGGGAGAAUGGAAUUCCUGGUGUAGCGGUGGAAUGCGCAGAUAUCAGGAGGAACACCGAUGGCGAAGGCAGUUCUCUGGGCCGUAACUGACGCUGAGGAGCGAAAGCGUGGGGAGCGAACAGGAUUAGAUACCCUGGUAGUCCACGCCGUAAACGUUGGGCGCUAGAUGUGGGGACCAUUCCACGGUUUCCGUGUCG